GUUUGGUUGUUGUCCUUCAUUCUCUGCCAGAGUCAAGAGUCUUUGUCUUCCUUCAAUGCUCAGCUCAGAAGAUACCUCUUCUAUGAAGCCUUCAGUGUUCCCAACCCACCCCCUUGAAUGUUAUAACUGGAAUAUCCUGUUCAGUUCUGGGUUCAUUUUAUGAAUGACAUCAGUAAGCAGCAAAGAAACCAGGGAGGGCCAUCAAGGUGGUGAAGGGUCUGGAGCCGUGUAAGGAUUAGUUGAAAGACCUGGAUGUGGAUCAAGCUUGGCCCAAAAGAAUAGAUAAAAAGACAUUUUUCCCUUCCCUUUUAUAGAUUUUAGGAACUAGAGGCAAAGAACACAUCAUAUAAUGUCCAACUUUUUUGAUAUGUUGGUCAGUUUUGCUGAACUUUUUUCCCCUUUUUAAAAAUUCUUGGUGGCAGCAAAGCAUAGAGAAAACUUGACCUGGGAGCCAAGAAAAACUGUCUUCAAGUCCUGCCUCUAACAUAUACUGUCCAUAUGACUCUGGGCAAGUCAGUGCUCUGGGAAACUCUCCAAAACUGUGAGAUGAAGAGAAGAUGAGAUAAGAGAAGAUGCACAUCUAUGAGUUCACUAUACCAAUGUAAUCACAGGUCAAGUCCCUAUCCUUAUCUCCUUAUUUCUUUGUUAUAAGAAAAGUCUGUCUGGGGUAGGGCAAAAGGAAACAUUAGGAAAUGCAGGUGAUAAAAAAAAAAUAAGAAAUUAAUACAAUGUUAUUUUAAAGUAAAAAAAAAGAACUGGGACUGUUUAGCUUGAAGAAAAGUCAUGGUGGGAAGGGUUUUAAGAGAAGGGGAUUUGUUACAUGCCUUUAGUUUUUGAGGGGCUGUCAUUUGUAAAAAGUAUUAGAUUUGUCCACUUGAUCCCAGAGGUCAGAACCCGUAGUAAUGGGUAAAAGUUGCACAUAAGCAAAU